rnacentral:rRNA from 1 species
GCCUUACACAUGCAAGUCGAACGGUAACAGGUCUUCGGAUGCUGACGAGUGGCGAACGGGUGAGUAAUACAUCGGAACGUGCCCGAUCGUGGGGGAUAACGCAGCGAAAGCUGUGCUAAUACCGCAUACGAUCUACGGAUGAAAGCGGGGGACUCGCAAGGGCCUCGCGCGGACGGAGCGGCCGAUGGCAGAUUAGGUAGUUGGUGGGAUAAAAGCUUACCAAGCCGACGAUCUGUAGCUGGUCUGAGAGGACGACCAGCCACACUGGGACUGAGACACGGCCCAGACUCCUACGGGAGGCAGCAGUGGGGAAUUUUGGACAAUGGGCGCAAGCCUGAUCCAGCCAUGCCGCGUGCAGGAUGAAGGCCUUCGGGUUGUAAACUGCUUUUGUACGGAACGAAAAAGCCUUCUCUAAUAAAGGGGGUGAAUGACGGUACCGUAAGAAUAAGCACCGGCUAACUACGUGCCAGCAGCCGCGGUAAUACGUAGGGUGCAAGCGUUAAUCGGAAUUACUGGGCGUAAAGCGUGCGCAGGCGGUUAUGUAAGACAGAGGUGAAAUCCCCGGGCUCAACCUGGGAACUGCCUUUGUGACUGCAUAGCUGGAGUGCGGCAGAGGGGGAUGGAAUUCCGCGUGUAGCAGUGAAAUGCGUAGAUAUGCGGAGGAACACCGAUGGCGAAGGCAAUCCCCUGGGCCUGCACUGACGCUCAUGCACGAAAGCGUGGGGAGCAAACAGGAUUAGAUACCCUGGUAGUCCACGCCCUAAACGAUGUCAACUGGUUGUUGGGUCUUCACUGACUCAGUAACGAAGCUAACGCGUGAAGUUGACCGCCUGGGGAGUACGGCCGCAAGGUUAAAACUCAAAGGAAUUGACGGGGACCCGCACAAGCGGUGGAUGAUGUGGUUUAAUUCGAUGCAACGCGAAAAACCUUACCCACCUUUGACAUGUACGGAAUCCUUUAGAGAUAGAGGAGUGCUCGAAAGAGAGCCGUAACACAGGUGCUGCAUGGCUGUCGUCAGCCCGUGUCGUGAGAUGUUGGGUUAAGUCCCGCAACGAGCGCAACCCUUGCCAUUAGUUGCUACGAAAGGGCACUCUAAUGGGACUGCCGGUGACAAACCGGAGGAAGGUGGGGAUGACGUCAAGUCCUCAUGGCCCUUAUAGGUGGGGCUACACACGUCAUACAAUGGCUGGUACAAAGGGUUGCCAACCCGCGAGGGGGAGCCAAUCCCACAAAGCCAGUCGUAGUCCGGAUCGCAGUCUGCAACUCGACUGCGUGAAGUCGGAAUCGCUAGUAAUCGUGGAUCAGAAUGUCACGGUGAAUACGUUCCCGGGUCUUGUACACACCGCCCGUCACACCAUGGGAGCGGGUUCUGCCAGAAGUAGGUAGCCUAACCGAAAGGAGGGCGCUUACCACG